rnacentral:rRNA from 1 species
AACGAACGCUGGCGGCAGGCUUAACACAUGCAAGUCGAACGCACCUUCGGGUGAGUGGCAGACGGGUGAGUAACGCGUGGGAACGUGCCCUUCAGUUCGGAAUAACCCAGGGAAACUUGGGCUAAUACCGGAUACGUGCGAGAGCAGAAAGAUUUAUCGCUGAAGGAUCGGCCCGCGUCUGAUUAGCUGGUUGGUGGGGUAAAGGCCCACCAAGGCGACGAUCAGUAGCUGGUCUGAGAGGAUGAUCAGCCACAUUGGGACUGAGACACGGCCCAAACUCCUACGGGAGGCAGCAGUGGGGAAUAUUGGACAAUGGGCGCAAGCCUGAUCCAGCCAUGCCGCGUGAGUGAUGAAGGCCUUAGGGUUGUAAAGCUCUUUCGUCCGGGACGAUAAUGACGGUACCGGAAGAAGAAGCCCCGGCUAACUUCGUGCCAGCAGCCGCCGUAACAC